rnacentral:rRNA from 1 species
AGAACGAACGCUGGCGGCGUGCCUAACACAUGCAAGUCGAACGAGGGGGGCAACCCCCGAGUGGCAGACGGGUGAGUAACGCGUGGUCAACCUACCCUAGAGUGGGGAAUAGCUAGCCGAAAGGUUAGCUAAUACCGCAUGAUACGUUUUGGGACAUCCCAGGACGUUGAAAGGAGCAAUCCGCUCGAGGACGGGACCGCGUCCGAUUAGCUAGUUGGUGAGGUAACGGCCCACCAAGGCUCCGAUCGGUAGCUGGUUUGAGAGAGCGACCAGCCACACUGGGACUGAGAAACGGCCCAGACUCCUACGGGAGGCAGCAGUGAGGAAUUUUCCGCAAUGGGCGAAAGCCUGACGGAGCGACGCCGCGUGUGGGAAGAAGGCCUUCGGGUCGUAAACCACUGUCGAAGGGGACUAUACUGAAGGUACCUUGGAGGAAGCCCGGCUAACUACGCGCCAGCAGCCGC